UUUCAGCUUUUGGAUAUAACAUUUAACUCUUCCUCUUAUUUAAAACUUUUUUGUGAUUCAGUAUUUUUAUUAUUAUUAGAUGAUAAAAUAUAAAUAAUACUUUAUGCAUGACUAAUUUUUUUUAAAAAAUUCAGAUAAGACAAAUGGUUAAACGUUGAAUACAGAAACUUGAGAUAAAACUUGAA
rnacentral:pre_miRNA from 1 species